AUUGCUUUUCUGACUUUUGGCUAAGAUCAAGUGUAGUAUCUGUUCUUAUCAGUUUAAUAUCUGAUACGUCCUCUAUCCAAGGACAAUAUAUUAAAUGGAUUUUUGCGGCAGGGAGAAGCAAUAGGAGCUUGCUCCAUCCACUCCGUGCAUCGACCUGGUAUUGCAGUACUUCUGGGAAUGGUGCUGCACCC